CGAACUCCUGACCUCGUGAUCCACCUGCCCCGGCUUCCCAAAGUGCUAGGAUUACAGGCGUGAGCCACUGCGCCUGGCCUGAAAAAAAAUUUUAAAGUUUGAGAAAAUACAAAAUUUUCAUAGUCUCCAAGUAUUUCUCCUAAGAUCUUUCCCCCUAUGAGGGGGAAAGAUAGUAACUUUACAAUGGAGAAACCCAGCAGAAACCUGAACCAAAUGAACAAGUUCAACAUCAUCAGUAAGAAAAACUAUCAAUGCCAUAACUCUGAUGGAAUGCACUGGGAAGGAUUCCACAUCAUUUUUGAGCUGUAAUUGCCAAAAGUGCGUAACUUCAGUCCAAUCAUGGAAAUACAUCAGACAAACCCAAAUCGAAGAACAUUUGACAAAUAGUGAUCAGUACUGGUUCAAAAUGUCACGGUUAUGAAAGAUAAGGAAAGAUUGAGGAACUGUUAUUGCAGUCCUACAAAACGGCGAGAGACUAAGAAAUAACUAAAUGCAGCGUGAUCCUGGGUGGAAUUUGGGAACAGAAAAAGGACAUUA
rnacentral:lncRNA from 1 species